AGUCGUCAACAAGGUCUCCGUUAUGGUGAACCAUGCGGGACGGGAUCAUUUAAUUGUCAGAAUCUUGCCCUAACGGGUAGAUCUCCCACCCUUUGUUAACCAAACAUUGUUGCUUUGUCUGGCCCGAGCCCUCGGGUCCGCCGGCCUUCGGGCUGGUCAGCGCCGGACAGAGGAAACUAAAACCUUUAUCACUGUCGUCAGAGUACUAUAUAAUAGUUAAAA
rnacentral:misc_RNA from 1 species